GGGUACUCUGAAGAAUCUCGGGCAAUCCAUGCUUGAUAAUAUUCAGGUGAUCGAGUCUGUCUUGCAACUAGAUCGCGGCCAGUCCGGAAACACUCUAGGAGGCAAAGGACAAGUUACCGCAAUGUCAGCUCUCACGGAGCUUCGGAAAAUUAGCAACCUAUUGUCUGAGAUGUGAAGCACGCAGCAUAUUUAUUUAAGCAAAUUGUAAGUAUCAUUCUUCCACGGCC
rnacentral:misc_RNA from 1 species